UGCGCAUGCUCACUUAAGGCGUUCUUCCCUUACCAGCUGAAAGUUUCUAGACGAAGGGCAUAUACCAGUUAAACUCCGCCAUUUUGCCUCUCAGUGUUCAAGCUUGAGCCCACGCAUCCAACUCCUGAGAUCUUACUGGGAAGCUGCUGAUCAUCAGUUUCAGGAAGUCAGCAUGGAUCAGCCUUACGUUCAUGGCCUCCAGGCCCUAUUCUCCUGCCUCACAGGGACCGGCCAGGAUCUCUAUCCUUACAGCACGUUGGAAUGUAUAUGCUCCUCUCCCCACAUCGCCUUAGGGAGCAGGCAGGUGUCAGGGGCAGCACAAGGACGGCCAACAGGACAGAAGACGGGUUGAAGAUCCGAGAGGCUGAGUCACUUCCACAAAGUAACACAGCUGAUUUUAAAUGCCUGCAUUCAGCAUCCCUGCAGCAGGCUCCAGGUGGAAUUCUAAUGGGACCAGCCUCCAGUCCCUGGACCUUAGCCGUGGAAGGAGAGAAGAGGACAUCUGCACCUCCUCUCAGAGAAAGCCUGAUGCCUACUAAAGGACUUGGGUGGUGGACGCAGUGACCCUCAGUCUGGAGCUUGUUCACUGAACAUUGGAGACUAUCAUUUGCGCAGAUGGUCUUGGGCCUCUAUGAGCAGCAGGCUGCACCCCACAGUGACCUCCUCAUUCUACUCUGAGGCAUCUUCAUGAAAGCAGAUGUCCAUUGAAAAGCACCCAAGUGCAGUCUCAGCUGAUGAACUUCAGAGGCGAUUGAGACAAAGGCUCUCGGUCCCCUCUGCCCUUGGAUGGUGCCUCUGGUAUGCACUUGGCCUCUGUGUCUUUAUUUAGACUGGUCACUUCACAACCCAUCAUGUCACCCCACCCCUAACCGUGCCCACUCUGGGUCCUCCCCUCAACUGCCUGACUUCCCACUUUGAGCUCAGCAAAGGCAAUAGAUGUUUUGUCUGCUUCGAUACCCUAAAUGCAUGGCGUGGAAGCUGGCACACAGUGGGCCCUUGAAAUUUGGGAGUGAAUAUGUAUAUAUAUUAUAUUCCAACCUCAACUUUCCUCACUGCUCCUCAUAGUAGGAAUGGAUUGUAAAACUUCCCAGAAUGUUCAAGAGGAGAAAGGAGAGAAAACAGCCUGGAAUUUGAGCUAAGGGGCCCACAGCCCAGCCACCAAGCCAUCUGUAAAAUGGGGUGGGAAUAUGACAUGAGCCACAGGGGUGCUAUGAGGGUUAAUGAGGUCACCGUGCGAUGUACCAUGCCAACAUGAAUAACCAGACCUCUUGAUAUCAUCAU
rnacentral:lncRNA from 1 species